GUGCUCGCUUUGGCAGCACAUAGACUAAAAUUGGAACGAUACAGAGAAGAGUAGCAGGGCCCCUGCACAAGGAUGACACGCAAAUUUGUGACACGUUCCAUAUUUUU